rnacentral:rRNA from 1 species
CUAAGCGGAGGAAAAGAAACCAACAGGGAUUGCCUUAGUAACGGCGAGUGAAGCGGCCAAAAGCUCAAAUUUGAAAUCGGCCACCAGGUCGAGUUGUAAUUUGUAGAUUGUAUCUUGAGAGCGGAUUAAAGUCUGUUGGAACACAGCGCCUUAGAGGGUGACAGCCCCGUAAAAUCUAUUCUCAUUGUAAGAUACUUUCGAAGAGUCGAGUUGUUUGGGAAUGCAGCUCUAAGUGGGAGGUAAAUUCCUUCUAAAGCUAAAUAUUGACGAGAGACCGAUAGCGAACAAGUACUGUGAAGGAAAGAUGAAAAGCACUUUGAAAAGAGAGUGAAAAAGUACGUGAAAUUGUUAAAAGGGAAGGGUAUUGAAUCAGACUUGGUGCUGUUGUUCAACCAUGUUUCGGCACAGUGUACUCAGCAGUACUAGGCCAAGGUGGGGUGUUUGGGAGUGAAAAAGAAGUUGGAACGUAACUCUUCGGAGUGUUAUAGCCUACUUUCAUAGCUCCUCAGGCGCCUCAGGACUGCGCUUCGGCAAGGACCUUGGCAUAAUGAUUCUAUACCGCCCGUCUUGAAACACG